UACGUAGGGACCGAGCGUUGUCCGGAAUCAUUGGGCGUAAAGAGCGUGUAGGCGGCUAUUUAAGUCCUGCGUGAAAUCCUGCGGCUCAACCGCAGACGGUCGUGGGAAACUGGAUGGCUAGAGUGCGGGAGAGGAGAGUGGAAUUCCCGGUGUAGCGGUGAAAUGCGCAGAUAUCGGGAAGAACACCCGUGGCGAAGGCGGCUCUCUGGAACGCAACUGACGCUGAGACGCGAAAGCGUGGGGAGCAACAGG
rnacentral:rRNA from 1 species